GGCAGUGUGACAUAGUGGAUUGAGUAUCGGACUACGACCCUGGAGACCAAGGUUCAAUUCCAUGCUCAUCCA